AGUGAACGCUGGCGGUAGGCCUAACACAUGCAAGUCGAACGGCAGCACAGUAAGAGCUUGCUCUUACGGGUGGCGAGUGGCGGACGGGUGAGGAAUACAUCGGAAUCUACUUUUUCGUGGGGGAUAACGUAGGGAAACUUACGCUAAUACCGCAUACGACCUACGGUUGAAAGCAGGGGAUCUUCGGACCUUGCGCGAUUGAAUGAGCCGAUGUCGGAUUAGCUAGUUGGCGGGGUAAAGGCCCACCAAGGCGACGAUCCGUAGCUGGUCUGAGAGGAUGAUCAGCCACACUGGAACUGAGACACGGUCCAGACUCCUACGGGAGGCAGCAGUGGGGAAUAUUGGACAAUGGGCGCAAGACUGAUCCAGCCAUAACGCGUGGGUGAAGAAGGCCUUCGGGUUGUAAAGCACUUUUGUUGGGAAAGAAAGGCAGCAGGUUAAUACCCCGCUGUUCUGACGGUACCCAAAGAAUAAGCACCGGCUAACUUCGUG
rnacentral:rRNA from 1 species